rnacentral:sRNA from 1 species
CAUCGCUGGGUUUGAGGAUGGAGUAAUUGUGGAGCAAGGAAGCCACAGUGAACUGAUGAAGAAGGAAGGGGUGUACUUCAAACUUGUCAACAUGCAGACAUCAGGAAGCCAGAUCCAGUCAGAAGAAUUUGAACUAAAUGAUGAAAAGGCUGCCACUGGAAUGGCCCCAAAUGGCUGGAAAUCUCGCCUAUUUAGGCAUUCUACUCAGAAAAACCUUAAAAAUUCACAAAUGUGUCAGAAUAGCCUUGAUGUGGAAACCGAUGGACUUGAAGCAAAUGUGCCACCAGUGUCCUUUCUGAAGGUCCUGAAACUGAAUAAAACAGAAUGGCCCUACUUUGUCGUGGGAACAGUAUGUGCCAUUGCCAAUGGGGGGCUUCAGCCGGCAUUUUCAGUCAUAUUCUCAGAGAUCAUAGAGGUAAGUUUGCAAACAUCACAUAACAGCCUGAAUUAAAUCAAUUCAUCAGCUGCUGCUUCUCCCAACCUCACUGACUGGCUCCAUUCUGGGAUUAAGCAGCCUUAAAUUAAACUAAGCCAAAGUCCUUAAAUCCCUUUUGAGAAAGCUGUGAGGGAAAAGAUAAGUAGCCUUUGAAUCACUCUAACUUAUGAUAUUAAUGAAAUUAUAAAAUGUAAAAUCAAUGAAGAAGGCAUUCUAAUGAGCUCUCUUCAUUUGGUGAAACUGGUGUCAGACAAUGAUCCCCAAUCUGUUUGUGUAGAGAAGCUGGUACACGUCGCACAGUGAGGUGGA